AUUGAACGCUGGCGGCAUGCCUUACACAUGCAAGUCGAACGGUAACAGGUUAAGCUGCCGAGUGGCGAACGGGUGAGUAAUGUAUCGGAACGUGCCCAGUCGUGGGGGAUAACUGCUCGAAAGAGCAGCUAAUACCGCAUACGACCUGAGGGUGAAAGCGGGGGAUCGCAAGACCUCGCGCGAUUGGAGCGGCCGAUACCAGAUUAGGUAGUUGGUGAGGUAAAGGCUCACCAAGCCGACGAUCUGUAGCUGGUCUGAGAGGACGACCAGCCACACUGGGACUGAGACACGGCCCAGACUCCUACGGGAGGCAGCAGUGGGGAAUUUUGGACAAUGGGCGCAAGCCUGAUCCAGCCAUGCCGCGUGCGGGAAGAAGGCCUUCGGGUUGUAAACCGCUUUUGUCAGGGAAGAAAAGGUUCUGGCUAAUACCUGGGACUCAUGACGGUACCUGAAGAAUAAGCACCGGCUAACUACGUG
rnacentral:rRNA from 1 species